GAUGAACGCUAGCGACAGGCCUAACACAUGCAAGUCGAGGGGCAUCGGGACGUAGCAAUACGUUGCCGGCGACCGGCGGAUGGGUGAGUAACGCGUAUGCAACCUACCCGUAGCAGGGGGAUAGCCCGUUGAAAGACGGAUUAAUACCCCGUAACACAGGGGCUCCGCAUGGAGAUUAUUGUUAAAGGGUCAUUUCUUUUAGAGGUGGUCCGGCUGCGGAUGGGCAUGCGUUCCAUUAGGUAGUUGGUGUAGGUAACGGCUCACCAAGCCGACGAUGGAUAGGGGAACUGAGGGGUUGGUCCCCCACACUGGUACUGAGACACGGACCAGACUCCUACGGGAGGCAGCAGUGAGGAAUCUUGGUCAAUGGACGCAAGUCUGAACCAGCCAUGUCGCGUGAAGGAGGACGGCCCUAAGGGUUGUAAACUUCUUUUGCAGCGGAAUAAAGUUUGCCACGAGUUGGCGAUUUGCAAGUACGCUGCGAAUAAGGAUCGGCUAACUCCGUG
rnacentral:rRNA from 1 species